CACAGAAGCCAAAACAGCAAGAGGGAUAGCUGCUUUCACUACACAGCGAUCCCUCUUGCUGUUCUGGCUUCUGAG
rnacentral:miRNA from 1 species